rnacentral:SRP_RNA from 1 species
GCCGGGUGCGGUGGUGCGUGCCUGUAGUCCCAGCUACUCGGGAGGUUGAGGCUGGAGGAUCGCUUGAGCCCAGGAGUUCUGGGCUAUAGUGCACUAUGCCGAUCAGGUGUCCGCACUAAGUUCAGCAUCAAUAUGGUGACCUCCCGGGAGCAGCGGACCACCAGGUUGCCUAAGGGAGGGGUGAACCAGCCCAGGUCGGAAACGGAGCAGAUCAAACUCCCAUGCUGAUCAGUAGUGGGAUUGCGCCUGUGAAUAGCCACUGCACUCCAGCCUGGGCAACAUAGCAAGACCCUGUCUCU